GCGGCAAACUCGGCAGCCCUCGAUCGGCUUGUCAGAUGUGCAUCCGGUUCCCGGCGGGCUACAUGUCCGUCCUCUCCGACUUCUUCGUCUUUUGCUGCGCAUGGAAACCUCUCAGGAUAGUAUAUAGCGGAAGAUACAGGAGAGGGAGGAGGUGGAGGUGGAGCUGGAGGAUGCUGCUGCAUCCACUCCACCAGAAUAUUAUCCGGUUUCAAGUCCCUGUGAGCUAUCCGGUGUUCGUGGCAGGCAGCAACUCCUCGGAGAAUGGCCUGAAUGAUCGUCUUGCAGAGCGCAAGGGGAAGACCGCAGGGUGGCAUAUCAGGGUACGAGAAUGGAACAGGAAAAGCUACGUGAUUUUUCGGAUCUCCCCGUAUUAGCAUACCCGGCGACACGGACGAGGACUCUGACAUUCUGGUUUCGGUGCGAAACGCGAGGUCCUCGUCCUUCUUCUCCCGUUUCUGUAAAGAGGAAGAACGGUUCUCACUCUCCUCUCUCGCCGCGUCUUCCUCGUCGUGGUCUUGAAGAAAAAGUUUGUGUGGGUACACCAAAGAUGGGUGAUCGUGCUGUUGAGACUGGUGACUAUACAGAAGGUGUUCCUGCCAGCCGGCGUAGCUGCGCAUCAAUUCCGUGAGACUUCCACCAUGAAUGACAGGAAAGGACAAAUAUACUCUACGACAACCUACAAAAACGCGGUCGAGUCGAAUGACAUUCUGUGCUCCACGGAGCGCCUUCAGACUUGCGACUUCUCGUUGGACUACAGCUGGAACACCUCCUCCCGCAACAGAGUCAUCGUCGGUGGCAUGCCGAGAGGACUGGAGAUACAUUCGUUUGAAUGCCCGUUCCUCUCCUGUUUCUUUAUUGCGAACCAGAUAUACUCGGCCGUAGACGCCCUCACCGAGAAGUCGCACGCCCUCCCACUCGUUCCAGAUUUGUUCGUCGCGGUCACACAGACGCACUAUCGUUUCCUUUUGGGUGUUCGUAUCUCCAGAGUCUGUCUUCUCACCGAAACGCUUCGAAACAGAGCGCUCCAUAGCGCGGCCGCCUGUAUCAUGGGAAACAGCAAUAGCCGGAGGUCUUGUCGCAUGUGCUGCCCUAGCGGCUCGCCGCCCUAUGGGAGGGAGACACUGCUCUAAAUGAGGAUCUUCAGAGGAGGACUCUGGGUCAGCUUCAAUCGCGAUUCUCACGUCUCUGUGUGCCCGCACCAAGUUUACCACAUCGUUGGCGCCAGUGGUACCAGUAGUGUUCGAUUUCUUUGGAUUGACCCGUAAACCCUUUCUGGAGUUCUUCCCGCAGGUAUUCCUUCCCCCGGCCGGCAAAAUACCAUGCCCGGCACAACUAUCCCCCGCGACAGGCUCGAUUCGCUCGCUUAUCAGUGUACCAUCGCCUGUUUCUCCAGCAGAACUUCUUUUCGGCACAGUCGGCCCACUCUUCGGGACGCCCUUUCUCUGGGGGAAGCCACACGCAGGCCUCCGUGUCUCGCUAACAACUACUGGAGGGUCGGAAGUUGCUUUUAAAAUGCCAGGCAUAUCUGUGGCGUUGACGCAUGCACAUACUUGCUCUUUGUCGUUGCACACGUCAUUUGUUGCGGCUUCGUGGUCGCAGUCAGUGUGCGCAUGUUGGGCGUUGUUUCGAGCUAUGCAAUUUCCAUCGCCCGUGUGGGGGUGUAGGGAGCCAGGAAACGAAGACGGGCUUAUCGACUCUAUCCGGCCGUUGGACACGGACACGAGCGGGGGGUUAGAUCCUUGGAAAGCAGCAUGACUGCCUGUUUUCUCGUCCUCCGGUGCACAAAAAAAGGUGCUUUCUGCGGGUCUGUCACCGCCGGAAACCUUUGCUUCACUACUGGCUGCAAUACUCCCCGUUCCAACUAGCGUGGAGUUUUUCUGUUGCUGCGAGGGCCGUCCUCUGAGUCCCUUUCUCUUAUUGUCGGGCACAGGACUGUCUCCUGGCUCAUCAGAUAGUGGAAGAGAAUCGGCGAGGACCAUCUCUGGGUAGCUGCGAGAAGCCAGCGGAAUUGGAACGUCGCUGACAUCGGACGCACACUCGACUCUGCUCUCCCCCGUUGAUUGUUUCGUUUGAACUUCGGUAGUUUUUGCGCGCUUACUUGAUAUCAUCUCAAAUCCCCUUGAUCCGGGAGGCAUGAGCCUCAACUCCAUACUACCUUCUUGCUGAUUCUGUUGCUGGGAUUCGUCCACGGUUCUAGGUACAGGAUGUGGCGGACGUUUUUUAAGAUUUCCUGGAGCCGACCCGUCGCCCGGCACUGGAACAGAAAGCACACUGUCACCCGUGUCCCGUUUUUGCCUGGCAGUCGUGACAGCAACUACAGUGGGAUCCUGAGAGGCCUGGCUUCCUGCCCUCUUCCCGCCUUGGGUCAAGAAACACCCGUUGUCGGUCUCUCGAAGGACAAGACGUGGCAUGGGCAGACGCACACGCACCAUGGCGUUCAACGAAGCUUGUGGAGAAUUCUCCUUUGUAGACCCUGUGGCACGAGGCUGAGUUCAGGGCCCGUAUAUUUAAUAUGCCUUGCUCCAAGGCCUUGUGUACUGGCUGUCCCUCGAUCGACGGUAGUACCCGUAGAAAAGGAUGCCUUUUCUGUAAGAAAAGUGAUUUCUAACCGACUCACGCUGGCCAACGCUGGUCAGAGUGUUUGAUGUUUCGACCGCUUGGAAGAUGGGUUCAAUGAAAAGAUUUCCCGCAAAGUGCCGACGCCUUGACAAAGUGUUCCCACUUCCCUAUUGUGUCGCGCAACCCAUGGGUUUCACUGCCAAUCUGUCUGUUAUGACUCGUGACGAAGGGUAGCACAGAGAACAUAUAGCGGCGUACAGAACGUGACGAAAUGACGAAGGCUCCCCCCAAGGGGUGACUUGCAUGAAGGAAAGAACUUUGCUUCUUUGAUCAAGACCGCAGCAGAAAACGUUGAUUAGGAGAUCUUGAAGAAAACAAACAACCGCCGUAAAGCCCUAUGCUGUCCAUCUUGACCGGUGGGUGCCCUGCGAAUCCUAAUAUGUGUCCGAGACCGAGUUAGA
rnacentral:lncRNA from 1 species